ensembl:lncRNA
ACAAGGGGAAGGUACCAGAGUUGAAUCGUCUACAAGGGGAAGGUACCAGAGUUGAAUCGUCUACAAGGGGAAGGUACCAGAGUUGAAUCGUCUACAAGGGGAAGGUACCAGAGUUGAAUAGUCUACAAGGGAAGGUACCAGAGUUGAAUAUUCUACUGGGGGAUGGUACCAGAGUUGAAUAGUCUACAAGGGAAGGUACCAGAGUUGAAUAGUCUACAAGGGAAGGUACCAGAGUUGAAUAGUCUACAAGGGAAGGUACCAGAGUUGAAUAGUCUACAAGGGGAAGGUACCAGAGUUGAAUAGUCUACAAGGGAAGGUACCAGAGUUGAAUAUUCUACUGGGGGAUGGUACCAGAGUUGAAUAGUCUACAAGGGAAGGUACCAGAGUUGAAUAGUCUACAAGGGAAGGUACCAGAGUUGAAUAGUCUACAAGGGAAGGUACCAGGGUUGAAUAGUCUACAAGGGAAGGCAACAGAGUUGAAUAGUCUACAGGUGAAGCUGCCAGAGCUGACAAAGUCAAAUCAAACGCAUUUAUAAAGCCCUUUUUCAGCAGAUGUAACAAAGUGAUUAUAAGAAAUUCAGUCUAAAACCCCAAACAGCAAGCAAUGCAGAUGUAGAAGCACGGUGGCUAGGAAGAACUCACUAGAAAGUCUUGAACCUAGGGAUGGCCUGUCCUCUUCUGGCUGUGCGAGAUUAUAAGAGUACAUGGCCAUUAAUGCCAGAUCGUUCUUCAAGAUGUUCAAACUUUAUAUAAUCAGAGUGGGCG